rnacentral:lncRNA from 1 species
UUACUUUCAGAUUUCUGAUCGUGAUGAAGACUCUGAAAAUGAUCAGAUGAAACAUGGUACUCAUAGCAAUGCUUCAGAUUCAUCAGAUCGUGAAAAUGGUAUUGUUGAUCCACGACAUACACAACAUGCUGUAGGAACUGAAAACAACACAAAGGAUCAGUGUAGCCAGCCAAAAAAAGGUGUAUUUUCUCGCUUAUCAGUGAGGAAGGAACUGACUUCUCAAGAUGCCACUGGUUCUACACUCAACCAAUUGGUUUCUUCUCUUGUUCGGAAGACAGAACAGUGGAGCCA